CAAGUUCUCAGAUGCACCAUGCAAUGCAGAUCAUCUGUGAGUGCAGUUCGCACGCCCAGCACCAUUCAAGUUCCCGUCUGGGGUUAAGAAAACUGCAUAAAGAAAAGGUCAAUAAGGCAUUAAAUUCUGAAAAUGGA